UACAGAGGGUGCGAGCGUUAAUCGGAAUAACUGGGCGUAAAGGGCGCGUAGGUGGUUGUAAGAGUGUGAUGUGAAAGCCCUGGGCUUAACCUAGGAAGUGCAUCGCAAACGUUGCAACUGGAGUAUGGUAGAGGACAGCGGAAUUUCCGGUGUAGCAGUGAAAUGCGUAGAGAUCGGAAGGAACGUCAAUGGCGAAGGCAGCUGUCUGGACCAAUACUGACACUGAGGCGCGAAAGCGUGGGGAGCAAACAGG
rnacentral:rRNA from 2 species